GGAGGGGUAGCUCAGUGGUAGAACGUGUGCUUAGCGUGCCCAAAGUCCUGGGUUCAAUCCCUAGUACCUCCA
rnacentral:tRNA from 1 species